ACAUGCAAGUCUAGGGGGCCCAGCAAUGGGCCACCGGCGAACGGGUGCGUAACACGUAAGCGACCUACCCUAGGAUGGGGGAUAGCCGGCCCAACGGCCGGGUAAUACCGCAUACGCUCUUCGAACGUGAUGGUUUGAAGAGGAAACCUUUAGGGUCCUUGGAGGGGCUUGCGUCCUAUCAGCUAGUUGGUGAGGUAACGGCUCACCAAGGCUAUGACGGGUAGCUGGUCUGAGAGGAUGGCCAGCCACAUUGGGACUGAGAUACGGCCCAGACUCCUACGGGAGGCAGCAGUGGGGAAUCUUGCGCAAUGGCCGAAAGGCUGACGCAGCGACGCCGCGUGGAGGAUGAAGCCCUUCGGGGCGUAAACUCCUGUUGCCCGGGAAGAACCUCCCCUUUCGAGGGGACUGACGGUACCGGGUGAGGAAGCACCGGCUAACUCUGUGCCAGCAGCCGCGGUAAUACAGAGGGUGCGAGCGUUGUCCGGAAUCACUGGGCGUAAAGGGCGCGUAGGCGGCUUCUCAAGCGUGCGGUGAAAGCUCGGGGCUCAACCCCGAGUCGGCCGUGCGAACUGGGAAGCUGGAGCACGGUAGAGG
rnacentral:rRNA from 1 species